GACGAACGCUGGCGGCGUGCUUAACACAUGCAAGUCGAACGGACAGACAGAGAACUUGCUCUCUUGAAGUUAGUGGCGAACGGGUGAGUAACGCGUAAUCAACCUGCCCUUCAGAGGGGGAUAACAACGGGAAACCGUUGCUAAUACCGCGUACGAUUCAUGAACGGCAUCGUUUAUGAAUGAAAGGUGGCCUCUAUGUAUAAGCUAUCGCUGAAGGAGGGGAUUGCGUCUGAUUAGCUAGUUGGAGGGGUAACGGCCCACCAAGGCAAUGAUCAGUAGCCGGUCUGAGAGGAUGAACGGCCACAUUGGGACUGAGACACGGCCCAAACUCCUACGGGAGGCAGCAGUGGGGAACCUUCCGCAAUGGACGAAAGUCUGACGGAGCAACGCCGCGUGAGUGAUGAAGGUCUUCGGAUUGUAAAGCUCUGUUAAUCGGGACGAAAGAGUUCUGCGUGAAUAAUGCAGAAAAGUGACGGUACCGGAAUAGAAAGCCACGGCUAACUACGUGCCAGCCGCCGCAGUAA
rnacentral:rRNA from 1 species